rnacentral:rRNA from 1 species
AGAGUUUGAUCAUGGCUCAGAUUGAACGCUGGCGGCAGGCCUAACACGUGCAAGUCGAACGGUAACAGGAAGCAGCUUGCUGCUUCGCUGACGAGUGGCGGACGGGUGAGUAAUGUCUGGGAAGCUGCCUGAUGGAGGGGGAUAACUACUGGAAACGGUAGCUAAUACCGCAUAAUGUCGCAAGACCAAAGAGGGGGACCUUCGGGCCUCUUGCCAUCGGAUGUGCCCAGAUGGGAUUAGCUUGUUGGUGGGGUAACGGCUCACCAAGGCGACGAUCCCUAGCUGGUCUGAGAGGAUGACCAGCCACACUGGAACUGAGACACGGUCCAGACUCCUACGGGAGGCAGCAGUGGGGAAUAUUGCACAAUGGGCGCAAGCCUGAUGCAGCCAUGCCGCGUGUAUGAAGAAGGCCUUCGGGUUGUAAAGUACUUUCAGCGGGGAGGAAGGGAGUAAAGUUAAUACCUUUGCUCAUUGACGUUACCCGCAGAAGAAGCACCGGCUAACUCCGUGCCAGCAGCCGCGGUAAUACGGAGGGUGCAAGCGUUAAUCGGAAUUACUGGGCGUAAAGCGCACGCAGGCGGUUUGUUAAGUCAGAUGUGAAAUCCCCGGGCUCAACCUGGGAACUGCAUCUGAUACUGGCAAGCUUGAGUCUCGUAGAGGGGGGUAGAAUUCCAGGUGUAGCGGUGAAAUGCGUAGAGAUCUGGAGGAAUACCGGUGGCGAAGGCGGCCCCCUGGACGAAGACUGACGCUCAGGUGCGAAAGCGUGGGGAGCAAACAGGAUUAGAUACCCUGGUAGUCCACGCCGUAAACGAUGUCGACUUGGAGGUUGUGCCCUUGAGGCGUGGCUUCCGGAGCUAACGCGUUAAGUCGACCGCCUGGGGAGUACGGCCGCAAGGUUAAAACUCAAAUGAAUUGACGGGGGCCCGCACAAGCGGUGGAGCAUGUGGUUUAAUUCGAUGCAACGCGAAGAACCUUACCUGGUCUUGACAUCCACGGAAGUUUUCAGAGAUGAGAAUGUGCCUUCGGGAACCGUGAGACAGGUGCUGCAUGGCUGUCGUCAGCUCGUGUUGUGAAAUGUUGGGUUAAGUCCCGCAACGAGCGCAACCCUUAUCCUUUGUUGCCAGCGGUCCGGCCGGGAACUCAAAGGAGACUGCCAGUGAUAAACUGGAGGAAGGUGGGGAUGACGUCAAGUCAUCAUGUCCCUUACGACCAGGGCUACACACGUGCUACAAUGGCGCAUACAAAGAGAAGCGACCUCGCGAGAGCAAGCGGACCUCAUAAAGUGCGUCGUAGUCCGGAUUGGAGUCUGCAACUCGACUCCAUGAAGUCGGAAUCGCUAGUAAUCGUGGAUCAGAAUGCCACGGUGAAUACGUUCCCGGGCCUUGUACACACCGCCCGUCACACCAUGGGAGUGGGUUGCAAAAGAAGUAGGUAGCUUAACCUUCGGGAGGGCGCUUACCACUUUGUGAUUCAUGACUGGGGUGAAGUCGUAACAAGGUAACCGUAGGGGAACCUGCGGUUG